GAUGAACGCUGACAGAAUGCUUAACACAUGCAAGUCAACUUGAAUUUGGGUUUUUAACUUAGGUUUGGGUGGCGGACGGGUGAGUAACGCGUAAAGAACUUGCCUCACAGCUAGGGACAACAUUUGGAAACGAAUGCUAAUACCUAAUAUUAUGAUAAUAGGGCAUCCUAUAAUUAUGAAAGCUAUAAGCGCUGUGAGAGAGCUUUGCGUCCCAUUAGCUAGUUGGAGAGGUAACGGCUCACCAAGGCGAUGAUGGGUAGCCGGCCUGAGAGGGUGAUCGGCCACAAGGGGACUGAGACACGGCCCUUACUCCUACGGGAGGCAGCAGUGGGGAAUAUUGGACAAUGGACCAAGAGUCUGAUCCAGCAAUUCUGUGUGCACGAUGAAGUUUUUCGGAAUGUAAAGUGCUUUCAGUUGGGAAGAAAGAAAGGACGGUACCAACAGAAGAAAUGACGGCUAAAUACGU
rnacentral:rRNA from 1 species